AUUUUUCUUAAAAACACUUUUUUAAUACACAAUUCCAAACAGAGGCUAUGGACAUACAUAACACACCAGACAAGUCUUCCAUCACCCUAGCCUCAACGUUUAAAUUUUGUAUCUGGACCACCAUAAAUCUCUCUUUUCUCUAUUGCCUGGAAGCACAAUAAUUCACAAUACAAGACAAGUAUAUUUCUUCAAAUCACCAUAAAUAUAACAAAAUUCUAGCAACCUCAAAGGCCAUGAACUUCACUCAUUCUCUGCAUUCAUUCCCAUAUUGUGCAGACAUUCAGAAUUAACAAGGGGGAAAAAAGAAGGAAGAAGAAAUGCAGAUAUCAAACUGGAUUCUCGUUAUAGACUUAUAUAUCCCAUGAAAUAUAAUGAUAUAUAGCCCUAUAACAUGACAAAUUGUCUUCAAAUCUAAAUUAGCAAAUGCCAAAACCAAAUCUCUCUCUAGAAUAACUAUUUGUUUAAAUCACCACGGCAUAUUUUUGCUAAACUGAGGUUGAAUCAGUGCCUGACUUGGGAUCUUCUUUCACUUUGGGAGGGGCUGAAGGAGAUGGAGAGCCCUCUACCCCCAUCUCAGAUCUGAGAUCGUUGACGCUUUGCUCCAACUCAUCUAUCCGGCUGCCCAUUUCAUCGAUUGCAUUGCAGUCAAAGAAACCAACAUUCAAUCCCAUCUCAAAUUAUGUCCAUGUUAAGCAAGGAACCAAGACUUAAACCUAGGGCAAUUAAAGGAAUAUAAUUUAGAUCGGAUCAAAAGAAUUAACUUUAUAAAGUUUUUCAGUGACCACUUCAUGUCCCUAUUUGAAAAUGCAAAGCGCAGCAUUGAUCACUGCAGUUUUGCAAAUGAUACCAUUCUAGCAAGUUUAAGAAAGGAUGUACUUGCACAUGAUGCAGAAAAUGCUAAAGGACCAUCCUGCAAUGAACAAAAGACUCCUCACAAAUUCCACAAAGGGAAAACGAAUUGAUUUCAUGUCCCUCGAUGUCAAAAUACAUUCCCUCCCCUCCCCCUUCCCUCCCAUCCAUCAAAUAAGCAACUUAAGUUAUUCUAAUAGUAAUGGAACUCUCAUUUUCUUUGGCAAGAUAAUUUGCAAUUAACACAUGAACAAGAGCAGGAUAUUCUUUGUAAUGAUGGAAUCCGACAUUGCCUGGAACCUGGAUUGCUGCAAAAUGCAACAAUGAAACUUUGGUAAAUCUAUUCAUAGUUUAGGUAACUUCAUUAUAAAAACUCACCAGACAGAUGUAACUAACCACAAACUCACCAUUUGCUGAAGUAGAUUUUGCACCUGCAGAAGCAAUAUGGAAACUCAGCAAAGGCUAAACAUCAAAUCAUUUGAACCAUACAAGUGAACUAUUGCAGCAAACAGGUAAAGCUAAAACUUUAUUGGAAAUAUUGUGAAGUAAAAAACAUUUUAUGGUAUUCAUUUGCCUAUUUUGUAUCUCUAUGGAAAAUACUAAAUGUUAGGAAUCCCACAUUGAAAAAAUAUAAAGUGAAAGAGUAAUAUAUAAAUUAUUAGGUUGCAACAUUAAAUUGGUCAGUUAUUUUGAUUUGUAAAGUAAUUCAAUCACUAUAUAAGCUCAAAUUAAAAUGAAUUAAUAUGUAAUUUGUCUAGCACCCUCUCCAAAUUUAACACUAAACGCACUCCAAACAAUGAAAAAGGGAGGAAACUUAAAAAAGCAAACACUAACAGCUUCAUCCUAAGAUAUGUUGGGCAAGGCCAGCCAAAUUAAAGCAACUGAUAUCAUAUUAUAAUCAUAACUCUAUCAAGUCAUAGUAAACACCCAAAACUAAAAAGAAUGCUACCAUUAAGAAUAACUUCAAUGCUUACAGCCAAAUAUGCUCCAGAUAGGUACAAGAAUGAGAAUUUCAUAGCUCAUCUACCUAAAUCAUCAUUCUGACUGAAUAGAGGUAGUCUCAAUUUAUUUGAGAUUAAUUGCAUGGAUUAAUAAAAUGUCCUUAAAGAUGAGUUUAGGAACUUACAAAAGCUGUCAUAUCAGCAGUGCUCUGCUUUGGAUCUUCAGCAUGCCCAUCCAUUUCUGGAGUUCUGGCCUGGUAAGUUGGUUUGGAAUUUGGCUAGUUGGAUUUUGCGGCUGGAAGCAGAGACAAGCAGAGGGAAUUUCUGGAGAGAAAUGCGGAGGUUGUUGGAUUUUGAAGAAAAAUAAUGCCCAAUUACGGAUUUGUCCCUCCUCUGAAUUUAUGGAGGAAGUCAAGGGUAUGUUUGGUCUCAGAGGAUUCAAACUCCUCAUGGGGUCCAGCGGCCUGGCUGGUGUGGGCCGAGGUGGUUUCGGAUGCAUUGCCUUGCGCCUCUGUAUAUUUCUCCAGUCUAUUUGAGCAUAGUUUGGGAUCUUCUUCUGCUGAAGGUUGAGGAGGCCUGCAUUGGAGUUGUUUUUGGUCAAUAUUAGGUCUCUAUUCGCAUGCUAUUGCAUCUUUGGUAAAC
rnacentral:misc_RNA from 1 species